AAAAGCCCUUUGGAAAACUGGCCAGUUACCCAUCAGUAACAUUUCCUGAUCUGUGGACACCCUACCCAGGAGGGUUGCGCCAGAGGCAUGGACUAUCUUUUAUGACAUCUAGAGAUCAAGGGACCAAGUUUAAGUCUGGAAUCAGAACC